UGGGGGAUCGUCUAAUGGUAGGACAUUAGCCUUUGGCGCUAAGUAUCGGGGUUCGAGUCCCUGUCCCCCAG
rnacentral:tRNA from 1 species